rnacentral:rRNA from 1 species
GAUGAACGCUGGCGGCGUGCUUAACACAUGCAAGUCGAACGAUGAAGCCCAGCUUGCUGGGUGGAUUAGUGGCGAACGGGUGAGUAACACGUGAGUAACCUGCCCUUAACUCUGGGAUAAGCCUGGGAAACUGGGUCUAAUACCGGAUAGGAGCGUCCACCGCAUGGUGGGGGUUGGAAAGAUUUAUCGGUUUUGGAUGGACUCGCGGCCUGUCAGCUUGUUGGUGAGGUAAUGGCUCACCAAGGCGACGACGGGUAGCCGGCCUGAGAGGGUGACCGGCCACACUGGGACUGAGACACGGCCCAGACUCCUACGGGAGGCAGCAGUGGGGAAUAUUGCACAAUGGGCGCAAGCCUGAUGCAGCGACGCCGCGUGAGGGAUGACGGCCUUCGGGUUGUAAACCUCUUUCAGUAGGGAAGAAGCGAAAGUGACGGUACCUGCAGAAGAAGCACCGGCUAACUACGUG